CACGGCGCACAAACCGGCGCGGCUGCACAUCCCGGAGGAAUUCCAGCGGUGGAAUUCCCGGCGGAGGCAGCCGAUCCCUCGGGAGAAGCUGGAGCUCUUCGCCGUGCUCUGCAUCGAGACCAGUCACUACGUGGCCUUCGUCAAGUACGGCCCCGGGAAGGAGCACUGGAUGUUCUUCGACAGCAUGGCCGACCGGCACGGUGGCGAAAGCGGCUUCAACAUUCCCGCGGUGACGCUGUGCCCGGAGGUCGCCAAAUACCUGGAAUUGCCCUUGGCCGGGCUGGCCCUGGAGCAGCCCCGGGAUAUGGAUGGAGUGGCCAAAAGGCUCUUCUGUGACGCCUACAUGUACCUGUUCCAGAGCCGGAAAAUGGCCCUGUACAAGUGACCCGGAGCGGCCUCGGGAAUCUGGGAUCGCUUCCCGGCCCCUCGGGAACAAGCCGAGUCUGGACGCAACAAGCUGCACUUGGGAGCCUCUUCUUACCUCUCCUGGUAUCCCGCUAUCCCCGGGUUUGGGAAAUCCAGGCUUUAUCCCGUGGGCACAGCUGGACUUUGGAAUUAUCGACGCCCGGAUCCCGUCUCGUUCCGCACAGUCCCAUCCCGCCCUUUUCCCUUCCCACCCUCCUUUUCUCCCGUCCCUCCGAAGCCGAGGACCAGCAGCGACCAAAGCACCGGGAUUCAUCCUCAGCUUUUCGGGGAGCACAAGGAAUCCGCAGCCUCCCCUUCCCUGAAAACAUCCUCGCCUGGAUUUGGGGGAGUGGGAAAACCGGGCGGGAGCCGGUUGAGAUGGAUCAGGAGGAGGGGUUUUCCCUCUAAAUCCCUCGAUUAUCUGCACUUCCCUUACCCAGCACUUUUUUCCCGCCAUCCCUCGGGCGUCUCGAGCUGAAAAUAUCCUUUAAAACCAGAUAUUCCUGGAAGAAGAAAACUGGGAGAAGAAGGAUGGAGCACCUGCCGCUCCCUCCCUUCGGCAAACUCCGUGCGGGAUUCGGGGUUUCCACUUGACUCUUCAGCACUUCCCAUCCCGUUUUUUUUUUUCCACGUCCGCUUCCAAGUUCGGUGCCAAACACCGGAAUUCCGAGGGCAGAAAUGGGAAAAAAAAACAAAAAAACCACUUUUGGAUUUCCUGCCCCAAGUCCAGGAAAGUUUCGGGAUUCAGUGGGAAUCGAUAUUCCAUGAAGUUUAAUAAAUUCGUGAACUGGGGGAUUCAUGGACAUGGAAUUCCAGCGGCGGGACACCCAAAACCUCGUGGGACACCUCCAGGAAUCCCGGAUUUGCAGCUUUAACCCCUCUCCCGGCUCUUUUUUUUCUUUUCCCUGUUUAGUGCAGGAAUUUUCCCACCCGGCUUCGGAUCCGUCCCGGUGGCUCGGGCCACGCGGUUGAGGAUCUUCUUGGCAUUCCAUCCCUAUGGAAUCCUUCCACUUGGAUAAGUCCCACUUGGAGUUCUGGGCCCGGUUUGAGCUUCCCAGUCCGGGAGAGAGGAAGAGAAUCCAAGGAAGAGCCGUGAAGGGAUGAAGGGAUUGGAUGAAGGGAUUGGAGCAGGAGAGGCUGGAAGAGCUGGGAUUGUCCAUCCUGGAGAAGGGGAAUCUCCUCAAGAUCCAUAAAUCCCUGAAGGAACCCCCGGGAGCUUCUGUGCCCGGCGCCAGGACCAAAGUGGUUUCGCUUGGAUUCCCUCCAGACAUUGGGAAUCACAUCCUUGGGGGUGACAGGGGGGAAUUCCAGGAAUUCCACUGGCACAGGUCGCUCCCCUCGUCCACCCAAGUCGUUCUUCAUUCCUCUUUUCCCAAAAAACUCGGGACAACCUUUACUCCGGCACAACCAACUCCGGGAUUUUUUGGUGCUUUGCUCUAAAAAAAAAAAUAAUAUGGAACUUCCGGCGAAAUA